AUUCCAUGCGGUCGGAGGCAGGCGUGACUUCGGGCUGGUGGCGAGUGGGGAACGGGUGAGUAAUGUAUCGGAACGUGCCUAGUAGCGGGGGAUAACUACGCGAAAGCGUAGCUAAUACCGCAUACGCCCUACGGGGGAAAGCAGGGGAUCGCAAGACCUUGCACUAUUAGAGCGGCCGAUAUCGGAUUAGCUAGUUGGUGGGGUAACGGCUCACCAGGGCGACGAUCCGUAGCUGGUUUGAGAGGACGACCGGCCACACUGGGACUGAGACACGGCCCAGACUCAUACGGGAGGCAGCAGUGGGGAAUUUUGGACAAUGGGGGAAACCCUGAUCCAGGCUUCCCGCGUGUGCGAUGAAGGCCUUCGGGUUGUAAAGCACUUUUGGCAGGAAAGAAACGUUCCGGGUUAAUACCCCGGGAAACUGACGGUACCUGCAGAAUAAGCACCGGCUAACUACGUGCCAGCAGCCGCGGUAAUACGUAGGGUGCAAGCGUUAAUCGGAAUUACUGGGCGUAAAGCGUGCGCAGGCGGUUCGGAAAGAAAGAUGUGAAAUCCCAGAGCUUAACUUUGGAACUGCAUUUUUAACUACCGAGCUAGAGUGUGUCAGAGGGAGGUGGAAUUCCGCGUGUAGCAGUGAAAUGCGUAGAUAUGCGGAGGAACACCGAUGGCGAAGGCAGCCUCCUGGGAUAACACUGACGCUCAUGCACGAAAGCGUGGGGAGCAAACAGGAUUAGAUACCCUGGUAGUCCACGCCCUAAACGAUGUCAACUAGCUGUUGGGGCCUUCGGGCCUUGGUAGCGCAGCUAACGCGUGAAGUUGACCGCCUGGGGAGUACGGUCGCAAGAUUAAAACUCAAAGGAAUUGACGGGGACCCGCACAAGCGGUGGAUGAUGUGGAUUAAUUCGAUGCAACGCGAAAAACCUUUACCUACCCUUGACAUGUCUGA
rnacentral:rRNA from 1 species